rnacentral:misc_RNA from 1 species
GCAAACUUGGUCAUUUAGAGGAAGUAAAAGUCGUAACAAGGUUUCCGUAGGUGAACCUGCGGAAGGAUCAUUACUGUUAUGUUUUAGUUUGUUGCCUGCGCUUAAUUGCGCGGCGACUUACAAACAAUCUUACACACUGUGUUUUUGUUUUUAUGAAACUUGCUUUGGUUUGGCGCAAGCUGGGCCAAAGACACACACAAACUUCAAUUUUUAAUUGAACUGUUUUUUAAUUUUAUUGUCAAUUUUGUUUGAUUAAAUUCAAAAUAAUCUUCAAAACUUUCAACAACGGAUCUCUUGGUUCUCGCAUCGAUGAAGAACGCAGC